UACGAAGGGUGCAAGCGUUAAUCGGAAUUACUGGGCGUAAAGGGUGCGUAGGCGGUUGUUUAAGUCUGUCGUGAAAUCCCCGGGCUCAACCUGGGAAUGGCGAUGGAUACUGGACAGCUAGAGUGUGUCAGAGGAUGGUGGAAUUCCCGGUGUAGCGGUGAAAUGCGUAGAGAUCGGGAGGAACAUCAGUGGCGAAGGCGGCCAUCUGGGACAACACUGACGCUGAAGCACGAAAGCGUGGGGGAGCAAACAGG
rnacentral:rRNA from 1 species